UGUUCACAAGCAGUCAACAAGUUGUGUUCGCACUGCUUGUUCCCAGUUUGUGGUAACAAGUUUGGAACAAGCUGUUAACAACUUGUAACAAGCUUGAUGACAUUAUCAGCCUUGUUACAAGACUGUGCCAACAAGUUUGUUACAGCCAUGAUAUAACAAGGAUGUUACAAGGUUGUCAACACAAGAUUGUAACAAUCUUGUUAUAUCAAGCAUGUAACGGACUUGUCAGAACAACCUUGCAAC